GACGAACGCUGGCGGCGUGCUUAACACAUGCAAGUCGAACGAAGUGGCGAACGGGUGAGUAACGCGUAAUCCACCUGCCCUUCAGAGGGGGACCACCGUGGGCAACGACUUCUCAUACCUCCUACUGAGGUAGGUGAUUGCGUCUGAUUGGCUAGUUGGAGGGGGAACGGCCCACCACGGCGAUGAUCAGUAGCCGGUCUUAGAGGAUGACCGGCAAAAUUGGGACUGAGACACGGCCCAGACUCCUACGGGAGGCAGCAGUGGGGAAUCUUCCGCAAUGGACGAAAGUCUGACGGAGCAACGCCGCGUGAGUGAUGACGGCCUUCGGGUUGUAAAGCUCUGUUAAUCGGGACGCGGUACCGGAAUAGAAAGCCACGGCUAACUACGUGCCAGCAGCCGCGGUAAUAC
rnacentral:rRNA from 1 species